rfam:Myotis brandtii contig288994, whole genome shotgun sequence.
GGUGGUUCUCGGGUGACACACCCCAGAAUUGGGCUCCCUCCUCUCUGGUUCCGGGUGCAUCACCCAAGAACCACA